GAUGAACGCUAGCGGCAGGCCUAACACAUGCAAGUCGAGGGGCAGCAUAAAAUUAGCUUGCUAAUUUGGUGGCGACCGGCGCACGGGUGCGUAACGCGUAUGCAACCUACCUUAUACUGGGGGAUAGCCCGGAGAAAUUCGGAUUAAUACCCCAUAGCAUUAUUGGAUCGCAUGGUUUGAUAAUUAAAGGUUACGGUAUAAGAUGGGCAUGCGUCCUAUUAGCUAGAUGGUGAGGUAAACGGCUCACCAUGGCGACGAUAGGUAGGGGGCCUGAGAGGGUGGUCCCCCACACUGGUACUGAGACACGGACCAGACUCCUACGGGAGGCAGCAGUGAGGAAUAUUGGUCAAUAGGGCGC
rnacentral:rRNA from 1 species